rnacentral:rRNA from 1 species
UACGUAGGUGGCGAGCGUUGUCCGGAUUUACUGGGCGUAAAGGAUGCGUAGGCGGAUAUUUAAGUGAGAUGUGAAAUACCCGAGCUUAACUUGGGUGCUGCAUUUCAAACUGGAUAUCUAGAGUGUGGGAGAGGAGAAUGGAAUUCCUAGUGUAGCGGUGAAAUGCGUAGAGAUUAGGAAGAACACCAGUGGCGAAGGCGAUUCUCUGGACCAUAACUGACACUGAGGCACGAAGGCCAGGGGAGCAAACAGG